rnacentral:rRNA from 1 species
GUUUAACGGCCGCGGUAUCCUAACCGUGCAAAGGUAGCGCAAUCAAUUGUCCCAUAAAUCGAGACCAGUAUGAAUGGCUAAACGAGGUCUUAACUGUCUCUUGCAGGCAAUCGGUGAAAUUGAUCUCCCUGUGCAAAAGCAGGGAUAAACCCAUAAGACGAGAAGACCCUGUGGAACUUUAAAAACAGCAGCCACCCCAAAUAACAUAACCCCCCACUGGGCUCACUUACACAUAAGCCACUGGCCUGCAUUUUUUCGGUUGGGGCGACCUUGGAGAAAAACAAAUCCUCCAAAAAUUAGACCAUACCUCUAGACCAAGAGCGACCCCUCAACGUGCUAAUAGCACCCAGACCCAAUAUAAUUGAUCAAUGGACCAAGCUACCCCAGGGAUAACAGCGCAAUCUCCUUUAAGAGUCCAUAUCGACAAGGAGGUUUACGACCUCGAUGUUGGAUCAGGACAUCCUAGUGGUGCAGAAGCUACUAAGGGUUCGUUUGUUCAACGAUUAACAGUCCU